GUGAGGAAUUUUGCGCAAUGGGGGCAACCCUGACGCAGCGACGCCGCGUGGAGGACGAAGUCUUUCGGGAUGUAAACUCCUGUCAGUGGGGACGAUAAUGACGGUACCCACAGAGGAAGCACCGGCUAACUUCGUGCCAGCAGCCGCGGUAAGACGGAGGGGGCUAGCGUUGUUCGGAAUUACUGGGCGUAAAGGGUAUGUAGGCGGCAUGUUAAGUUGAAUGUUAAAGCCUACGGCUCAACCGAGGAGAUGCAUUGAAUACUGGCUAGCUAGAGGAUGUUAGAGGAAGGCGGAAUUCCCAGUGUAGAGGUGAAAUGCGUAGAUAUUGGGAAGAACAUCGGUAGCGAAAGCGGUCUUCUGGGACAUACCUGACGCUGAGGUACGAAAGCGUGGGGAGCAAACGGGAUUAGAAACCCGGGUAGUCC
rnacentral:rRNA from 1 species